rnacentral:rRNA from 1 species
GGAAUAUUGGACAAUGGGGGCAACCCUGAUCCAGCCAUGCCGCGUGUGUGAAGAAGGCCUUCGGGUUGUAAAGCACUUUAAGUGGGGAGGAAGGGGUCAACGCUAAUACCGUUGAUCAUUGACGCUACUCACAGAAUAAGCACCGGCUAACUCUGUGCCAGCAGCCGCGGUAAUACAGAGGGUGCAAGCGUUAAUCGGAAUUACUGGGCGUAAAGCGCGCGUAGGCGGCUGAUUAAGUCGGGUGUGAAAGCCCCGGGCUCAACCUGGGAAUUGCAUCCGAUACUGAUCGGCUAGAGUAUGAGAGAGGGAGGUAGAAUUCCACGUGUAGCGGUGAAAUGCGUAGAUAUGUGGAGGAAUACCGGUGGCGAAGGCGGCCUCCUGGCUUAAUACUGACGCUGAGGUGCGAAAGCGUGGGGAUCAAA